rnacentral:lncRNA from 10 species
UGAGAAAUACAGACCUCAGCACUGCUGACAUUUGGGCCAGAUAAUUCUUUGUUAUAAGGGGCUGUCCUGUAUAUUAUACGACAUUUAGUAGCAUGCUUGGUUUCUACUCACUAGAUGGCAGUAGUAUCUCUCAGUUUUGACAACCAAAAAUAUCUCCAGACAUUGCAAAAUGUCCCGUGGGGAGUGGGAGUAUGGAGAAAUUGCCCUCAUUGAGAACCACUGCCCUAAUAGAAGGAUUUAGAGAACUGGAGGUUCAGGGAGUAGCAAGAAGACCCCCAGCACAAGGUGUGGCUCAGAGCUUGCCCUAUGAAUCAGUGGUGAGCUGUGUUUGGGAACUGUUUGAACUCAGGUUGGAAAAGUAGGUUGGGGUCCUGACAUAGAACCCCAGUACCAAGCAAUUAAACUGUUGCUUCCUACAACAGUAGUAAUUCAGUUUUCCAUGUGGUAUUUCAUGCCCUUAGCUUUACCAUUUACUCAAGAUGACAAGUGUUGCCAUUACUAUUUAUGCUUCUUAACUGAAGUCUUUUUUUUUUUUUUUUUUUUUUGAGACGAAGUCUUACUCUUUUGCCAGGCUGGAGUGCAGUGGCGUGAUCUUGGCUGAACUGCAGCCUCCGUCUCCCAGGUUCAAGUGAUUCUCCUGCCUCAGCCUCCCAAGUACUGGGACUACAGGCACAGGCCACCAUGCCCAGCUAAUUUUUGUAUUUUUAGUAGAGACGGGGUUUCACCAUGUGGGUCAGGAUGGUCUCGAUCUCUUGACCUCGUGAUCUGCACGCCUUGGCCUCCCAAACUGUUGGGAUUACAGGCGUGAGCCACUGUGCCCGGCCCUAAAGCCUAUUUUUUCUCCCUCUUUGGAGCUUCCCUCCUUUCAUUCAUGUGUUCCAUCCUACUGUUCCAGAUGUAUUUCCUUUAUGUCUCUUUACAGCAA